rnacentral:rRNA from 1 species
UACGUAGGGUGCGAGCGUUGUCCGGAAUUACUGGGCGUAAAGAGCUCGUAGGUGGUUUGUCGCGUUGUUCGUGAAAACUCACAACUCAAUUGUGGGCGUGCGGGCGAUACGGGCAGACUGGAGUACUGCAGGGGAGACUGGAAUUCCUGGUGUAGCGGUGGAAUGCGCAGAUAUCAGGAGGAACACCGGUGGCGAAGGCGCCACUCUGGGCCGAAACUGACGCUGAGGAGCGAAAGCGUGGGUAGCAAACAGG